rnacentral:misc_RNA from 1 species
UACGGAGGGGGCUAGCGUUGUUCGGAAUUACUGGGCGUAAAGCGCGCGUAGGUGGUUUGAUAAGCGAGAUGUGAAAGCCCCGGGCUUAACCUGGGAACUGCAUCCAAAACUGGCAAGCUAGAGUACGGUAGAGGGUGGUGGAAUUUCCUGUGUAGCGGUGAAAUGCGUAGAUAUAGGAAGGAACACCAGUGGCGAAGGCGACCACCUGGACUGAUACUGACACUGAGGUGCGAAAGCGUGGGGAGCAAACAGG